UUUAUCUAAACCACAUUUGCUUGUGAGAAUGUCAUGUGGGACUGUGUCAAAAGACUUACUAAAAUAAGGAUAUAUCACGUCUACUACUC